AACGAACGCUGGCGGCAGGCUUAACACAUGCAAGUCGAGCGCCCCGCAAGGGGAGCGGCAGACGGGUGAGUAACGCGUGGGAAUCUACCCAUCCCUACGGAAUAACCCAGGGAAACUUGGACUAAUACCGUAUACGACCGAGAGGUGAAAGAUUUAUCGGGGAUGGAUGAGCCCGCGUUGGAUUAGCUAGUUGGUGGGGUAAAGGCCUACCAAGGCGACGAUCCAUAGCUGGUCUGAGAGGAUGACCAGCCACACUGGGACUGAGACACGGCCCAGACUCCUACGGGAGGCAGCAGUGGGGAAUAUUGGACAAUGGGCGCAAGCCUGAUCCAGCCAUGCCGCGUGAGUGAUGAAGGCCCUAGGGUUGUAAAGCUCUUUCAACGGUGAAGAUAAUG
rnacentral:rRNA from 1 species